AAAAAACACAAAAAACAAGGACACACCCAGAGCCAAACAAAGUUGGGUUUUUUGAUGCAUUUCAUAAAAACAUGCAUCAUGGGGGACCAUGUGGUGUCCCAGGAAGGAGGUACUGUAAGGGACCUCAAGGAGUUGGGGUGGGUGAUAUGGUGGAGUGGGGGCUCCAAGAAGCAGCGCCGUGCUCUGGCUUGACUGCUGUCAGGAAGCAGAGAUGAUUCCACUCCUGGAUCUCAAUAGUUGUUACCCAGGAAGCAGGACAAACCAUACGAGGUUAAAGUAGUGACUGGAAGAGAAGACGCCGUCUCUCGUGUUAGCCAGGUAGGGGAUGUUGGAUCGUUUUUGUGGUUCGAAUGCGCUCCUGUUUUUGUCUGAGCAGACCUGAUCACCAGCGCCGUUGUUUUUGUCUUGGUCCAGCACAGACACAGGGUGACGUGGCCUGAUGGUUCAGUGAAAUCAGUGUUCGGUAGGGCCAGCUGCGAGGGCCAGGCCGGCCCCGCCUGCCAGGGGCUGCUCUCUUCUCACCAUUCAUCCAUGUGCUUAUCUCUCAAACACAUAAUACAGUGUGCUGUCUCUGUGACAGGCACUCAGUGAUUUACAAGCCCAAGUUCAUUUAAUCAGAUGCCACCCUAGAACCCUCCGUCACCUCAGGUGCCGUGUCACCCUUGUCCUGGCUUCUCUCCGCAGCCUCCUACGGGCUGGUAUCUGUGUGCUCCAUGAGGACGGGGCCUUCUGUUUUUUUGGCUGCGGUAUCCUCAUUGCCUGGAACCUAGCAGGUGCUCAAAAACUUUGUUGAUGAUGCUGACGUUUAAUUAAAGAAUGUGUUGUCUGUAUGAUACAUACAUGCCCGGCCAAAUCGCACCUGGUCUCUUCCAGUAGAAAUUUUCCAAAGCUCUGAUUCCCAGGGCCACUGUUCUAAAAGACAAUUCGCGGUACUCCCAUCCACGCCACCCCCCAUUAUCCAUCCAUCCAUCCACUCAUCCAUCCUUUCAUCCACUUGCACAUCCAUCCACCUGAGCAUCCAUCCAUCCAUCCAUCCAUCCAUGCACCCACCAUCUAUCCACCCAUCCACCUGCACUAGUUUUUAUUGGUUUGUACAUAACUUAUUCGAAAGUGAAUAUCUUUAGAAAGUUUCCCCCAAAUAAGUUUUCCUUUCUUGUUUUUCCUUCUCCGUGUGUUCACUGGGCUGCUGUGUCAGGUGCUUUGCUAACUAACACCUGGCUGGGCCCGUGGGUCCGGGAGGCAACACUGGCGUCCUGAGCGCGAGGUCCCUCCGCCCAGGAAGUGCAGGAGACAGCCCGGCAUAGGAUGACCUGGGGCGGGGGGCUGUAGGGAGGGGAAGAGGACUUGGGUACCGCGAGCCACACCAGCCACCGCCGCGACUACAGGACAGGAGGGGGCGGUACCUGGAGGGAGUGAUGGGGCGGGGCUGGGCAGGGCCUGGCAAGGGGUGACGUGACUGACGUGGCGCAGCGAGAGGGCACAGGCGGAAGGGGCGUGGCCAAUACGGGUGAGGGGCGGGGCUAGGCGGCCUGUAGUUUAGAUUGGGCGAGGCCUCCGAGGAUAGCGCGGGUGGAGCCAGACUAAAACAACAAUGACAAAAGCAAGUUUCCUCCAGUGUCCUUGAUGUCGAAGUCUGCAAUUCUGCCAUGUUUUGAACUGGACUGGUAGCUCAGAUUGGACUCAGAUGAGGACUGUGGAUUCCAUUGUUUUGUUUUUGUUUUUAACAUUUUUAAUUUAAUUUGAACUUAAUCAUGCAGGGAAAUGUACACUUUUUGCUAAACAGUGAUAAUCAUAUAACCACCACCAUGAUCAAGAUGCAGAAUAAUUCCGUUCACCCCCCAAAAUUCCCUCAUGCUGACCCUUUGUGGUCUGUGCCUCCCCCUACAUCCCUACACACAUCCCUGACGAUGCCCCCUCCACCCCUAAAGUUUCGUCUUUGCAUGAAUAUCAUAUAAAUGGAAUCAUCAUACAGUAUGUAACCUUUUGAGGCUGGCUUCUUUCAUUUAGCAUAAUGCAUUUGAAAUUUACCUGAAUCAAUAUUUCAGUUCUUUUUAUUCUUUAUAGUCCAUUUAGUGGUGUGUCACAAUUUAUCCAUUCACCAUUUGAAGGGCAGUCUCUGGCAAUUAUGAGUAAUGCUGUGAUACAUGCCAGCAUACAGAUUCUGUAUCACUUAAAAAUUUUUUUCAUUUGGUGGCACAAGAACAGACACUCAGAUCGGUGGAACAGAAUAGAGAACCCAGAAAUGAACCCACAAACGUAUGAUCAACUCAUCUUUGACGAAGCAGUAAAGAAUAUCCAAUGGAAUAAAGACAGUCUCUUCAGCAAGUGGUGCUGAGAAAACUGGACAGCGACAUGCAGAAAAAUGAACCUGGACCACUUUCUUACACCAGACACAAAAAUAAACUCAAAAUGGAUUAAAAAAAGUUUCAGGGAGUAGGAUUAUGGGUUUUGGUGCUAUUAGAAAUGGUCCUGUCUGUGUAAUUCCUUUUUUUUUAAAUUUAUUUAUUAAUUUUGAGAGACAGAGCAGGAGGGGCAGAAAGAGAGGGAGAGACAGACAGUCCCAAGCAGGUUCCACACUGUCAGCACGGAGCCCAAUGCAGGCUUGAUCUCAUGAACUGUGAGAUUCUGACCUGAGCCAAAAUCAAGAGUCAGAUGCCCAAUUGACUGAGCCACCCGGGUACACCUGUAAUUCCUAUUUUUAAUUGUUCACUGCUAGUACAUAAAAAUACACUUAAUUUUUAUAUACUACUUCAUAUUCUGUGACCUAGCUAAAUUUACUUCUUAGUUCUAGAAACUAUCUUGUAGAUUUCUUCUAAGCACUGCUUUACCUGGAAUCCACAAACUUUAAUGUGUUCUAUAUUUUAUCAUUCAGUUCAAAAUAUUUUCUGAUUUUUCUCAUGACUUCUUUGACUCAUAGGUUUAGAAGUAUCCUUUCUUAUUUCACAAUGUUUUGGUAUAUUCCAGAUACCUUACUGUAAUUGAUUAUUAGUUUCAUUUCAUUAUAAUUAGGAAAUGUACUUUGCAAAAUUUUAGUUAUUUCAAGUUUGUUGAUGUUUGUUUUAUGAUACCCCAAAAUGGCCUAUUUUGAUGAAUGUCCCAUGUGCACCUAAAAAGAUUGUGUAUUCUAUUGUUUUGGAUGGAAUGUUUUCCAAAUCUCAAUUAGAUGAAGUUGAUUUAUAAUGUUCAGGUUUUGUAUAUUUUGCUGAUUUUCUGCACUAGAAAUUAUUGAUUAUUGAGAGAAGACUGCUGACAUCUCCAGGAAUAAUGGUGAAUUUUCUUCUUAAUUCCAUCAUGAUUUGCUCCAUGAAUUUUGAAGCUCUUUUGUUGUGCAUGCACAUUCAGGAAUUGUAUAUCUUCUUGGCAAAUUGAGUCUUUUAUUAUAAUGUCCUUUUGGAUCCCCUUUUUAUUGUUUCUUUUUCUGAAAUCUACUUUGUCUAUAUUAAUAUAGCCCCUCCAGUUUCUUUUGACUAGUAUUUUCAUAGUGUAUCUCUUUUUAUCUUUUUGCUCUUAACCUAAGUCAUUAUAUUUGUUUAAAUAUAGAAUAUAUUUGGGUCUUGUGUUUUUAAUCUAAUCUGAAAGUCUCUCUUUUAAUCAGUGUGUUUAGACCAUUUACAUUUAGUGUAGUUAUUGAUAUGGUUGACUUUAGGCCUCCCAUUUUAUAUAUUUUUUUUUUCUGUUCUCACUGGUUGUUUUUUGCUCCUCUGUUCCCCCUUUCGUACAGUCUUUUAAAUUAUUUUAAUGUUUUUAGUACUUCAUUUAAAUAUAUCUAUUCGUGUGUUUUUUUGUUCAUUUCUCUUUGUAUUAUCUUAUAGUGGUUGUUCUAGGGAUUAUGAUAUACAUACCUAACUUCUCAUGGUCUACUUAGGUUAAUAUUUUACCAAUUCAAGUAAAAUAUACACACCUUGUAAGCAUCUAUGUCCUUUUACACCCUCUCUUAUAUUGUAGUUGUCCUAUGUAUUAUACCUAUAUUCACUUAAAAUUCUACCAGACAAUGCUCUAUUUUUUUCCUUUCAGCAGUAUAUGUAUUUUAGAGAACUUAAGAAAAUAGUCUAUUAUAUUUAGUCAGAUACAUACCAUUUCUAUUGUUCUUUCUUCAUUCCUAAAGGAACUCCUGAAGUACCAAGUUUCCUUGUGGCAUCACUUGCCUCCAGCCUACAGAACCUCAUUUUAGUAUUUGUUUGUAAGCAGUUGUGCUGGCAACAAAUUCUCUUAAGUCUUCCUUCAUCUGAGAAUGUCUUUGUUUUGCUGUCAUUCCUAAAGAAUAUCUGCACUGAGUGUAGAAUGUUGAUCUGCUGUCUUUUGUCUUCCAUAGGUUCUGAUGAAGAAUUCACAGUAAUUCUGAUUGUUCUCUGUACAAGGUGUCACUUUUCUCUGGCUGCUGUCAAGAUCUUUCGUUUAACUUUGGUUUUCACCAGAUUAUUAUGCCUAAUGUUCCUUAAGUAUACCCUGUUUGAUGGCUCUUGAAUCUGUAGAUUUAUAUCUUUCACCAAACUUGUGAAGUUUUUGGUCAUUAUUUCUUCAAAUAUUUUUCCAUACCAAUAUCUUUCUCUUCUCUUUCUGGACUUCCAAUGGCACAAAUAUUAGAUGUUUUGAUGUUUGAUGUUUCCAGAGGCUCUGUUCAAUUGUUUUUAAUUAUCUUUCUGUUUUUCAAGUUAAAUAAUUUCCUUUAAUUCAUCUUCAAGUUUACUUCUUCCUCUGUCAUCCACAUUCUGUUUCCUUUCAGACAUUGUAGUUUUCAAUUCUAAAGUUUCCAUUUCUGUUGUAUAGUGUAUUUUUUCUUUUUUUUUUUAAGUUUAUUCAUUUAUUUUGAGAGAGAGAGAGAUAGCAAACAGGGAAGGGGCAGAGAGAGGGAGAGAGAGAAACCCAAGCAGGCUCUGCUCUGUCAGCACAGAGCCCAAUGCAGGGCUCAAACUCACAAAUGGCAAGAUCAUGACCUGAGCUGAAACCAAGAGUCAGACACUCAAUCGACUGAGCUACCCAGGCAUCCCUGUAUAGUUUUUUUUUUAUUUUUCUGCUGAGAGCUUCUAUCUUUCCAUUCAUUUGAAGUGUAUUUACCUUUACCCCAUGGAGCAUAGUUAUAAUACAUUAAAGCCUUCGUUAAAUCCAAUAUCAGGGUCAACUCAGGAUUUGUAUCUGUUGAUUUCUUUUCUCUUGAGAGUUGUUUACAUUUUCCUGGAUCUUCAUAUGCCGAACAGUGUUUGAUUUUGAUGCUUUUGUUGUGAGACUCUGUGUCCUGCUGAAAUCCUCUGGAGAACACUGACUUGUUGUUUAGCAUACAGUUACCUGGCUAGGUUCCUACCACAAGUUCUAUUUUGCCUUCUGUGAAUGGUGGUUCCAAUGUCACUUAAGUUUUUAAAACCUUUGCUGUGUUCCUUAGUGUCUGUUUCAUGCAUGUAGCACUCAGAGAUUAGCCUGGGGUGCAGGCAGCUGUUUAUGUUUGUAGUUCAAUUCUCAAAGUCUUUGCUAUGUCGCUCUGAGUCUCUCCUGCACAUGCACAGCCCAAGGGCAAGCUGCGGACCUGUGCCCAUUCAUAUGUAGAAUUAAGGGAUCUCCUUUACCAGCUCCCUCCUCUCUGUAAUUCCCGGAACACUCUCUGGCUCCCAGGGGCUCCUUUCUCAGUCCUAUGGCCAGAAAUCCAGACUUUCUCUCUGAUUUUGUUAUGCUCUCUGCCACCUUGUAGAUAUGAGACUGGGGUUGCUUUCAGGGCAAGGCCUGGAAAGAGAAAAGAGAGAGAUAGAAAACAGAUUCUCCCAUACUCUCUGGUUUGUGAGGAUUGCUUUUCCUGGUUCUCUGUCCCAAAAAAACAGAGCUGCAGAGUUUUAUGACCAGGGCUGCCCUCAGGUCAAAGGCAGGAAAGAAAAGAGGAAAAACAAUGAGAAACUUACCACUCCCCCCUCCAUUUUCAAGUUUGAUUUCCUUACCAGUCCACCUCUUUGUUUGCUCUUCACAUUUCUCACGUAGUCGCUAUUUGUACUUUGAUUUCCUCCCUUCAAGAUGGGUCAUUUGUUAGGAGGACUUAAUAGUCACGGGAGUGGAGGCUCUAUCUGAAUAAUCGUGUUGGGCUGGAAAUUGCUUUUUCUUCCCCUUUUCUUCAUGAUGUCUCCAUGCCACAUUUUGUGCAGAUUCUCAAAUAAUAGCUUUUGCAUUCAGAACACAAAUGAGUAAGCCACACGUAUACUCACCUCUUUUGCCCAGUUUGUAGACCAGAUUAAGCUUCCUAGGAGGGGGUGCUCAAGAAGACACGUCCUCUGCACAAAAAUUCAUCUGUCGUGUACUUACCUUUACCCCAUGGAGCAUAGUUAUAAUACCCACAUUAAAGCCUCUGGAGAAAGCAUCUGUUGUUCUUUUUACCUUUGUGAGGUCAAUCUCAUGUUUAUUUUGCAUUCUGUACCUCCCUGUCUUGCUCGCCUACAUAGACAGAGCAGGAUAACUUAAUCGGUGAACAUCAAAAUGUGUUUUAGAAAACAAUAUUUGCCUGCAUUAGAAUACAAUUACAUUACAACAGGAGAUCCCUUUCCAGUAAAUACAACUCCUGAGUUUACGUGAGGUCUGUAUUAGUCUUUGUAGUAGCUUAGGGUUGGAGGGUCAUUCCUGAGUUCUUCCUGUAUGCAGGCCAGUUGUGUUAAUUGUUUUUUAGAAGGUAAAAUAGAGUCACUAGUUUGAAAAUAAGAAAUGUCGGGAUAUAGCUGAAGGAUUCAGUGGUUUCUUUCCUGGUCAUUGAGCCUGUAAGUUUCUAAGUAUGAGUAGGUCUUACAGACCAAUCAAAGAAUGUUCCCCAACUUUACCUAUGUCAGCAUUUUUGUGCACACCUUUUAUUUAAGAUGCGCUAAAAUUGACUCUGUUGUGCCUUAUUCUCUUUCAUCUCCUUUCCCACUUAAUAAUAUGGCACCUAUUAAUAAAAUAUCAUUAUAACUAACCUAAGAAACAUUAUGUAUUUAAAUGUUACUUCUCUCUAAGAAUCCUGAUGUUGGUUUUGUUUGGAUUGAGAAUAUAGAAUUCAAUAUAGAAUCACAGCACAAGUGCAGACUCUGAGGUCUGAUGACUCUUGUGAAUGGAUGGGAGGUCCCACUCACCCACUAGGCAACACGGACAAUUUCUUAAUCUCUCUGUGCCACAGCCUGCUCAUUUGCCAAAGGGGAAUUGUAGUCAUCCUUCUCACUGCAAGGAUUAAGAGAGAUGGUGUGAAAAUGUGCUUGGCAUGGUGCAUGGUGUCGGCUCUUACUGUUGUCCUGUAGGUAUGGAGACCGUCACCAUCACCACUGUUGACUGACAGGCAGUGCUCUGGACGUGCUGGAUGCUGGCGCCAACGUGCAGAAUAAGACACACUCCCCACAGCGCUCCUGAUGGGGAAGACAGACACACAAACAGGUGAGGACACAGCAAGAAGAUGGCCAUCUCUGAAGAAACCAGACACCAAAUCCACCAACACCUUGAUCUUGGACUUCCUAAUCUUCAGAACUCUGACAAAUAAAUGUUUGUUGUUCAAGCCACCCACUGUGUGGUCGUUUUGUUUUAGCAGCCCAAACAAACCGAGACAAGCCAUGUCCAAAAUAGCUGGCUCACGUGGCUAUUGGCAGGUGACCUCAGUUUCUUACCAUGUGGAUCUGUCCAUAGGGCUAUCAAAGGGUCAUCAUGACAUGGCAGCUGGCUUCAAGAAUGGGGGUCGGUGGGUGUGGAAGGAGCUGCAGUGCCUCUUAUUACCUAGUUUGGAGGUCACAUAUCUUCACUUCUGCCAUGUUCUAUUCAUGUGUCAUAUGAUAGUGAUAUAUGUGAUACGUGUGUCACUAAGUGCAGAGGAGGAGAAUUGGGUUCCACCCUUGGAAGGGAGAAUCAAAGAAUUUGUAGGCAUUUUUAAAAACCCCUACACCCUGUGACUUGCAACAAAUAUAAUGCAAGGAAUGGUACCGUGUGAUAUCUGAGGCUAGGUCAUAAAAGGUGAUGCAGCUUCUUAAUGGUUCAUCGGGACACUCACCUUUGGAGAUGUGAGUCACCAUGCUGGAAGUUGACCACCCUGAAGUCACCAUGUUAUGAGGAAUCCCGGGGCACUUGGGAGGCCAUGUGGAGGUGUUCUGGCUGACAGCCCAGCUGGGUCUCCACUAACUGCCAGCAUCAAUUGCCAGACAUGUGAGUGAAGAAGCCUCCAGAUGAGCCCAGCUCCCAGAUAGCAUAUUAACUUCCAGCCAUGGAAUCUCCCAGGUAAAGGGCCAGGCUUGGUGGGGCAGAGACAAAUCAUCCCCAUCUUAGUUUUUGAUCCACAGAAUCCAUCCAUAAUCAUAUUAAAAUGACUGUCUUAUGCCAUGACAUUUUGGGGUUGUUACACAACAUUAGUAACCGUAACAUGGGUUAGUUUUCAAUCCAUACAGACUCACCCUCUGAUGCGUGCCUAAAGGUUCCCUUUCCUAUAGAUUCUCUCCAGCUCUUUAUCUGGUCCUUAUUUCUUUGUCCUUUUGGAUAUCUCUAGAAAAGCAUCUAAAAUGAUGACUGCAAUAACUUCUACAAUCCCU